AGCGCAGGCGGGAAGACAAGUUGGAAGUGAAAUCCAUGGGCUCAACCCAUCAACUGCUUUCAAAACUGUUUUUCUUGAGUAGUGCAGAGGUAGGCGGAAUUCCCGGUGUAGCGGUGGAAUGCGUAGAUAUCGGGAGGAACACCAGUGGCGAAGGCGGCCUACUGGGCACCAACUGACGCUGAGGCUCGAAAGUGUGGGUAGCGAACA
rnacentral:rRNA from 1 species